CCUACGGGAGGCAGCAGUGGGGAAUUUUGGACAAUGGACGCAAGUCUGAUCCAGCAAUGCCGCGUGCAGGAUGAAGGCCUUCGGGUUGUAAACUGCUUUUGUACGGAACGAAAAGGUCUGCCCUAAUACGGUGGGCCCAUGACGGUACCGUAAGAAUAAGCACCGGCUAACUACGUGCCAGCAGCCGCGGUAAUACGUAGGGUGCAAGCGUUAAUCGGAAUUACUGGGCGUAAAGCGUGCGCAGGCGGUUAUAUAAGACAGAUGCGAAAUCCCCGGGCUCGACCUGGGACCUGCAUUUGUGACUGUAUAGCUAGAGUACGGUAGAGGGGGAUGGAAUUCCGCGUGUAGCAGUGAAAUGCGUAGAUAUGCGGAGGAACACCGAUGGCGAAGGUAAUCCCCUGGACCUGUACUGACGCUCAUGCACGAAAGCGUGGGGAGCAAACAGGAUUAGAUACCCUGGUAGUCCACGCCCUAAACCGAUGUCAACUGGUUGUUGGAUCUUUACUGAUNAUAACGAAGCUACGCGUGAGUAGACCGCCGNGGGAGGUACGGCCGGCGAGUUAGAACGUACAAGUUAGAAGUUAGACGGCGUGAGACGNGCCGACGGACGACGACGAGGGAGGAGG
rnacentral:rRNA from 1 species